GAGUUUGAUCCUGGCUCAGAGCGAACGCUGGCGGCAGGCUUAACACAUGCAAGUCGAACGGGCGUAGCAAUACGUCAGUGGCAGACGGGUGAGUAACGCGUGGGAACGUACCUUUUGGUUCGGAACAACUGAGGGAAACUUCAGCUAAUACCGGAUAAGCCCUUACGGGGAAAGAUUUAUCGCCGAAAGAUCGGCCCGCGUCUGAUUAGCUAGUUGGUGAGGUAAGAGCUCACCAAGGCGACGAUCAGUAGCUGGUCUGAGAGGAUGAUCAGCCACAUUGGGACUGAGACACGGCCCAAACUCCUACGGGAGGCAGCAGUGGGGAAUAUUGGACAAUGGGCGCAAGCCUGAUCCAGCCAUGCCGCGUGAGUGAUGAAGGCCCUAGGGUUGUAAAGCUCUUUUGUGCGGGAAGAUAAUGACGGUACCGCAAGAAUAAGCCCCGGCUAACUUCGUGCCAGCAGCCGCGGUAAUACGAAGGGGGCUAGCGUUGCUCGGAAUCACUGGGCGUAAAGGGUGCGUAGGCGGGUCUUUAAGUCAGGGGUGAAAUCCUGGAGCUCAACUCCAGAACUGCCUUUGAUACUGAGGAUCUUGAGUUCGGGAGAGGUGAGUGGAACUGCGAGUGUAGAGGUGAAAUUCGUAGAUAUUCGCAAGAACACCAGUGGCGAAGGCGGCUCACUGGCCCGAUACUGACGCUGAGGCACGAAAGCGUGGGGAGCAAACAGGAUUAGAUACCCUGGUAGUCCACGCCGUAAACGAUGAAUGCCAGCCGUUGGGGAGUUUACUCUUCAGUGGCGCAGCUAACGCUUUAAGCAUUCCGCCUGGGGAGUACGGUCGCAAGAUUAAAACUCAAAGGAAUUGACGGGGGCCCGCACAAGCGGUGGAGCAUGUGGUUUAAUUCGACGCAACGCGCAGAACCUUACCAGCCCUUGACAUGUCUAUGACCGGUACCAGAGAUGGAACCUUCCCUUCGGGGCAUAGAGCACAGGUGCUGCAUGGCUGUCGUCAGCUCGUGUCGCGAGAUGUUGGGUUAAGUCCCGCAACGAGCGCAACCCCCGUCCUUAGUUGCUACCAUUUAGUUGAGCACUCUAAGGAGACUGCCGGUGAUAAGCCGCGAGGAAGGUGGGGAUGACGUCAAGUCCUCAUGGCCCUUACGGGCUGGGCUACACACGUGCUACAAUGGCGGUGACAAUGGGACGCUAAGGAGCAAUCCUUCGCAAAUCUCAAAAAGCCGUCUCAGUUCGGAUUGGGCUCUGCAACUCGAGUCCAUGAAGUUGGAAUCGCUAGUAAUCGUGGAUCAGCAUGCCACGGUGAAUACGUUCCCGGGCCUUGUACACACCGCCCGUCACACCAUGGGAGUUGGCUUUACCUGAAGGUAGUGCGCUAACCCGCAAGGGGGGCAGCUAACCACGGUAGGGUCAGCGACUGGGGUGAAGUCGUAACAAGGU
rnacentral:rRNA from 1 species